rnacentral:rRNA from 1 species
CCCUUAGAUGUCCUGGGCCGCACGCGCGUUACACUGAUGCAUUCAACGAGCUUAUAACCUUGGCCGAGAGGCCUGGGCAAUCUUGUUAACGUGCAUCGUGAUAGGGAUAGAUUAUUGAAAUUAUUAAUCUUGAACGAGGAAUUCCUAGUAAACGCAGAUCAUCAAUCUGCAUUGAUUACGUCCCCGCCCUUUGUACACACCGCCCGUCGCACCUACCGAUUGGAUGGUCCGGUGAAGCCUCGGGAUUGUGGUUCUUGCCGCUUUAUUGUGGCGUGACCGCGAGAACUUGUCUAAACCUUAUCAUCUAGAGGAAGGUGAANUCGUANCA